AAAAAAACAACGUGUCGCAGUAUUUAUAAACAAGUUACAUGUAUGGGAAAGGGGUAUUAAACGAGCAUUUUAUUUUGAAUUGGAUAAACUUAAGCACAAAAUACGCGCAUUGGAGUUAACAUCAAGUACAUAAUUAUGAGACCAACAUUUUCAGAAAUCGUGAGGAAUUUAUAUGGAGCUAUGAUUUGCUAAUUGGAAGAUGAAUUUAUUUGCUGGUUUAUUGAAAGUGUUUCGACAACUGACUUAAACGUCGCCCGACAUUCUACAAAUGAUCGGGAAUGAACGCCCUGAACGUGAUCGAAAACGAUUCUUAAGACAAAUGGCUUCUUUUAGAUUGGACGAUGCGAGCACUCGUCUCACGCUGAAUCUCUGACCUUGUGAUCACCUAAGGCAUUUUCUGGUUGGAUGUGAUCUUAUCUGAAGUUGUCAUACGGUUACCAAAAUCAAAGGUAGAUGGUUAGACCGAUGAGGCAAGAUGCUAGAGACACAGCAUUAGAAUGCCUUCGGUAUCGUAGUUGUCUCCCUCUACUGCUGCAACGAUAAAGUUCUGCAGUUCAAGGAAAGGCAGAUAGGUUUAUACGUGCAACCGUCCAUUACUGAAUCUCUGAACUUUAGAUCACACGAGACAUUUUCUGGUAGGAUGUUGUUUUAAGUUGCCCGGACGUCAAUGACCAGAGGUACAAGUGCCCAAAAAUGUUUUUUCAAGUGACAGAAACGGAGUGGUAUGCCGAAAAAAGGAAUGCCACAAGCCUGGUAUCUGCUUUGGUCAAAUGGCAGUUGUUUCCCUUGGGCUGCUAUUAAACUAGUGAGCUACAGGUUGAGAAAAGCAGGCAAAUACAAAUUGACGUACCACGCAGAGAUCAGCUCUUCCUGACAGGAUGUGUUCCACAGUUAUCCGGUAUUGACAAGAAUAAAAGAUUGAUACGAGCAGACCCUGAUCUGAAGGUAACUAUGGGAGCAUUAUUGCGACAUGUAAUCAUAGUGUGUCCGACAUCAACAACAAGCAAAGACUGGCUAAUACGAGCAGACUUCGCAUAAUGAAUCCCUGAUAUUGAGGUCCCAAAACCAAGAGACGUUUGGGCAAUAAUAUAUCUUCAUACAGGUGCCUUUGGAACGCAUUUGUCAUCUGCAGUUCGGAAAAAAAUGGUUCGGUGCUGAAGACACACCAUCGGGGUGUGACAAUCCCAGAUAAUGUCAGUCCGGAGUUACAGUUGUCUUUGCGGAUAUAAACAGCUUCAGAUCCAGAACUGGAAACGAGCAGAUGUAUGUGUCCGGACCCAUGCACGCUAUUUAAGAAAAACUAUUUCUGAUCGAAGUUAGUGCGAUUGGUUUCUUUUCGAUAGAUCAAUAUGAGGAGACGUCCCACGCUAAAUACCUGAUUUAGAGGUUACAUGACGCACUUCCAGGUAAAAUAUUGUUCUGGGCUGUCCGGCAUUUACCAGAAGCACCGGUAGAUUGUAAGAUACAUAGUUUGCAUUAUGGCCACGUCUUACCACCAAGAAAUCACAUGUGGAGAUCUUCUGGUCGUUUAAGGGUGACCAGUUCACAAAACAAAGGGAUGCAUUUUCAGGUUAGUCGCGUCAGUACGUUAAAUAAUACAUUUGCCCACGGAUUAAUAGCUGACUUCUCGCCUAAACAAUAAUUGCACAUUACAUAGUUUGUUGCGGGUUCUUUAUUUUUUCUGGUCUCAAUUGAGUUAUCAGCGAUAUAUAUUUAACUUUUUACUAGUAAAUGAUGUGGGUUAGGUGUAAACAUUUGUUUGGAAUUUUCUUUAUUACUAAAACGCUUUAUUGUUUACGCAAAAUGUCAAGUUUCCUGAGCUUAAAAAUGUUGUCUAGUCUUAAUUUAAGGCUGCAGAUAACUAUUUUCGAAACACACUAACAGUUGUGUCCAUCUACCUGCAUUAUUUUGGAGACAAGCCUAUUCUUGACAUUGAAAGCAACUGUUCACGAUCCCAUUUAUAACUUUAUGCGAAAGAAAACCUAUAAAGUAUGGUUGCUCUGUUUGACAGACUGGUAGGAGAUAUACUGGUGACAUAACAUUGGUAUGUGAACGACAUUCGGUCUAUCAAAAAUAAUCACAUUUAUCUCCCUUUGACCGCAUAUUCCGAAGUUUAACGACAAGUAGGUACUAGAUGCAGUAAUUACAAUUUUCCUGCUUAACAGACCAAGGGGUGGAUUGUUUAACAUACUUUUUACCAAAUGGAAGGUGUCAUUAAUUGGCUAAUAUAUUUAAUGUAAGCUUAAAAGUCCAGAAUAUAUACUUAAGAGGCUUUAAGAUUGGUUUUAUGUUACUUUAAUUUCUUUCCUAUUAAACCAAGUGUAUAUGAUGGUUGUGUUGUGCAUGAGAUUGAAUCUUUGGUUCAAAUGCUCUCUUUUAGGUAUGCCUAUACACGCAGAUAUUUCACCCUUAAUUACUGAUCAGGAUGUCUUACGAGACAUUUCCUGUCAUAAAGUCGUCCUGAGUUGUCCGGUAAAAAGCAUUGAUCUGUACUUAAUUUUGGCUUCAGCAUACCUUCGGAGCUGCUAUCGUCAUUUGCAGUUGAACAUGCAUCAAGCUAUACAUACAUGUAUAAACUAAGAUACUCUAGCAAAAUAUGUGUUGUAAUACAUAUGACAUCCAUAGGUUGACGUUUAGAUGUACACAUUUGUUCAUAUGGAACCAUUCUUCAAUUGAUGUCCAAUAACGGUUAAAGGUUAAAUAAAUCUCAACAUUUGACAUUCUGAUACCUAUGACAUAUGAAGUUUAGAGUCCAGUAGUUUCACAAACGGGUAACAAUUGGACUUUGAGGCUGAUCAAUUUAUUGUUUCUUGCGAAUGAAUCAUUAGUGCAAAUAUUCUCUUUCAGAAAUGCCAAUACUUGCGAAUGGUCCACACUGAAACACUGAUCUCGAUGUUACAAAAAGCUUUUGUUGGAAGGAUUUUAUCUUGAUAUGUCCAGCGAUUACUUCAAUCACACUAAUCUACUUUGGUCACAGGACUGCUUCAAACCACUGCAUCUGUAACAUUACAGAUUUGACAAUUACAAUAUUCUGUAAAUAUUUUACCAUGAUCACAAAUGUGUUCUUGUUAUUGACUGAGUUUCGGCGGUAUGAUGAAGAUAUUACAUGACAAUGUGACAGGCCUUUGAUAUGCCAGUUGUCUUCCUUUUAAUAAUAAAAAGGGAAGGAUAAGCAGCUAGCUUACAUCUCUAGAGUUUCUAAAAAUUGAUGUGACAAGGCAACUCCGAAUUUAACAUACUACACUAAUCAUUUGUCACGAGGUUUCUAUGUCGUGGAAGUUAUCCAUCUGAACUUCUCCUAAUCUCGCAUACAAUAGUUUAAUUAUAAAUAGUGAUACUCCUACUAACCAAUUACACACCAUAGUCUGGUAUUUGCAACCUUAAACGAAAUUGGAAAGGAACUCCAUUAUCUUCUUUGAUGUUAACACUUCACAAUCGAACGGAAAAUAGUAUUCCUCUAUGUUAACAGAACUAUUGUAAAUAUUCUUUGAUUAAAAUGUAUAAGGUA